GCGUCCAACGCGGCCUGUUGAAAGGUUGGAGAAAUCAUUAGUAGGUUUGAGAAAAAGGGUUUCUACUUGAAAGGGUUGAAGUUGGUCGGCGUGGAACGCUCCUUUGCGGAGAAACACUACGUCGACCUCUCCACAAAGCCCUUCUUUGGUUCCCUUGUGGAGUACAUCAUCUCUGGUCCGGUGGUAGCGAUGGUAUGGACGCGAAAGAAUGUGGUGGUCAGACUCUGCAAUUGAGAUU